rnacentral:rRNA from 1 species
UAGGGAAUAUUGGGCAAUGGACGGAAGUCUGACCCAGCCAUGCCGCGUGCAGGAUGAAGGCGUUAUGCGUUGUAAACUGCUUUUUUAUAGGAAGAAGGAGACCUUGCGAGGUUUGGUGACGGUACUAUAAGAAUAAGCACCGGCUAACUCCGUGCCAGCAGCCGCGGUAAUACGGAGGGUGCGAGCGUUGUCCGGAUUUAUUGGGUUUAAAGGGUGCGUAGGCGGUUUAUUAAGUCAGUGGUGAAAGACGGUCGCUCAACGAUUGCAGUGCCAUUGAUACUGGUAGACUUGAGUUCGUAUGAGGUAGCUGGAAUGGAUAGUGUAGUGGUGAAAUGCAUAGAUAUUAUCCAGAACUCCAAUUGCGUAGGCAGGUUACUAAUACGAU